rnacentral:rRNA from 1 species
UAACUGAAGAGUUUGAUCAUGGCUCAGAUUGAACGCUGGCGGCAGGCUUAACACAUGCAAGUCGAGCGGGGGAAGGUAGCUUGCUACCGGACCUAGCGGCGGACGGGUGAGUAAUGCUUAGGAAUCUGCCUAUUAGUGGGGGACAACAUCUCGAAAGGGAUGCUAAUACCGCAUACGUCCUACGGGAGAAAGCAGGGGAUCUUCGGACCUUGCGCUAAUAGAUGAGCCUAAGUCGGAUUAGCUAGUUGGUGGGGUAAAGGCCUACCAAGGCGACGAUCUGUAGCGGGUCUGAGAGGAUGAUCCGCCACACUGGGACUGAGACACGGCCCAGACUCCUACGGGAGGCAGCAGUGGGGAAUAUUGGACAAUGGGGGGAACCCUGAUCCAGCCAUGCCGCGUGUGUGAAGAAGGCCUUAUGGUUGUAAAGCACUUUAAGCGAGGAGGAGGCUACUCUAGUUAAUACCUAGGGAUAGUGGACGUUACUCGCAGAAUAAGCACCGGCUAACUCUGUGCCAGCAGCCGCGGUAAUACAGAGGGUGCGAGCGUUAAUCGGAUUUACUGGGCGUAAAGCGUGCGUAGG